CCCUAGUGGCGGACGGGUGAGUAACGCGUGGGUAACCUGCCAUAUACAGGGGGAUAACACUUAGAAAUAGGUGCUAAUACCGCAUAAGCGCACAGGGGCGCAUGCCCCGGUGUGAAAAACUCCGGUGGUAUAUGAUGGACCCGCGUCUGAUUAGCCAGUUGGCAGGGUAACGGCCUACCAAAGCGACGAUCAGUAGCCGGCCUGAGAGGGCGGACGGCCACAUUGGGACUGAGACACGGCCCAAACUCCUACGGGAGGCAGCAG
rnacentral:rRNA from 1 species